UACGUAGGGCGCGAGCGUUGUCCGGAAUUAUUGGGCGUAAAGGGCUCGUAGGCGGUUUGUCGCGUCGGGAGUGAAAACCAGGUGCUUAACACCUGGCUUGCUUUCGAUACGGGCAGACUAGAGGUAUUCAGGGGAGAACGGAAUUCCUGGUGUAGCGGUGAAAUGCGCAGAUAUCAGGAGGAACACCGGUGGCGAAGGCGGUUCUCUGGGAAUGACCUGACGCUGAGGAGCGAAAGUGUGGGGAGCGAACAGG
rnacentral:rRNA from 1 species